UCUGCGCUGUUUUGCUAAUGCCUAAUACCAACAAGAUCAGAAAAAUCAGAUGUGCUUGAGCCUAAUUAAAUGUAAUGAGUUUAAUAAUUCUGUAUUCUGAUAAUAUACAUAUUUUUGCAGUGUAAUGCAACCCAUUUUAUGUAGGUACUGGGAAAAAAGCAUAAUUUCAGUAUUUGAAUUUGCUUUCAAAAUCAACAUAAAAUGUUGUUUGCAAUCAAUUUUACUUGCUUUUAUCCACUAGGAGCCGUAAAAGGAAUGGAAAAAUGUAUCAAGAACUACAAGAAGUUGAGAUUCAGCUAAUGAUUAUUUCAGACAGCGAGUUAUAAAGUUUAAUUACUCUCUGUUCCUUGCGCAGGUGUUCCAUCGCCAGCUGAAACUCUCUUUCUUUUGCCCAGGCCUCUGCGAUGGUGGCUUGGUUUUGCUCUUCAUAUGCCAUGGCCACGACAGCCAGGAUCAAGUUCACCAGAUCUGUUCCAGUUCAGCAUCAGUUAACAGGUUAAAUCUGUGCAUUAGUCUCAGGAUUGAGGUUGCCAUGAGGAUGGAGGAGCUCAGGUCUCUAUAGUAACUGUGUCCUGGAGGAGAAUGAAACGAUGGUAAUAAGAGUGUCUCUCGGGAUCUUCCUACUCACAUAAAGAGAGAGAAAAGAUCAGUGCAAAUCCACUAUGUUCUGUUGUCGUGAAAACAGCCAUUAACAAACCUACAAAAGGGCUUAGGAGGGAUCAGAUGUGAAUGUAGAGGGGAAAUCCUCUCUGGGUUGUGUGCCUUGAGCCGAGGAGAGCACUGAUGGGAACUGAAAGUGUUAAACCCUGAUCACAGACAGACACACGGAUCAUUGUUUCUUCUUACUGGGUGAGGCUGAUAUGAGCUGUAAAGGCUCACAGGAUGAGGUUUGAAGUAGUGAAACUUUGAAUAAUCUUGAGAAAUUACAAAACACUAUGUUAAGUAAAGAAUGCUUGCUUUUUGUGCAUUUUGUUUGUUUAAUUCAGCAAGUAAAUUAGUUGAAUUUUCAAGAUAAAUGCAAGGAAAUUACAUCUUGCAGUUUAUAAAAUGAUUCCCUCAAUUGUUCUGUUUUUGGUUUAUUUUUGUUUCAGUUCCUCAUAGUCACUAAUACCCCUAACAGUGCAAUAUUUCACAUUAACACAUGGUAUUUAGCACAAUAAAAUCCUUGAACUAGCCCUGACACCACAAAUAUCAUCCUGUGGCUCUGGCAUGAACAAGGUUGGGAUUUGCAGGAUUAUGUCUCUGCACUGUGGAGACGGAGACGGUUAGUGAGACCCACAAUGAAGGACUUUCACUCGUAAUUCAGUGGAUUAUUGGUGUGGAUUGUUUAUGCACAAACAAAAUAACUCUCAGCGUUCAUGAACUGAAUACAUUACAGUGCUUCUUUUAAAGUGGAAUUCUUUUAAUGCAGACAUUUUUUUAAAUAAGUAAACAGAACUUUUGCUCAUUUUAAACCUUUGCAGUAAUUGCAGUAAUUUAAGAGAAUAAUCAGGUGUUAAAAAGGUAUAAACUGAUCACUCUUCCACAAAUUAAGACACUGGGGUUAAAUUAAUAGUGCAUUUUGGGUAAACCAU